AUUGAACGCUGGCGGCAUGCCUUACACAUGCAAGUCGAACGGCAGCACGGGAGCAAUCCUGGUGGCGAGUGGCGAACGGGUGAGUAAUAUAUCGGAACGUGCCCAGUCGUGGGGGAUAACGUAGCGAAAGCUACGCUAAUACCGCAUACGAUCUAUGGAUGAAAGCGGGGGAUCGCAAGACCUCGCGCGAUUGGAGCGGCCGAUAUCAGAUUAGGUAGUUGGUGAGGUAAAGGCUCACCAAGCCGACGAUCUGUAGCUGGUCUGAGAGGACGACCAGCCACACUGGGACUGAGACACGGCCCAGACUCCUACGGGAGGCAGCAGUGGGGGAAUUUUGGACAAUGGGCGGCAAGCCUGAUCCAGCAAUGCCGCGUGCAGG
rnacentral:rRNA from 1 species